UACAGAGGUCCCGAGCGUUGUUCGGAUUCACUGGGCGUAAAGGGUGCGUAGGUGGUUGGGUAAGUUUGAUGUGAAAGCUCAGGGCUUAACCCUGAAAUGGCAUUGAAUACUACUUAACUGGAGGUUUGGAGGGGGGACUGGAAUUCUUGGUGUAGCAGUGAAAUGCGUAGAUAUCAAGAGGAACACCAGUGGCGAAGGCGAGUCCCUGGACGAUACCUGACACUGAGGCACGAAAGCUAGGGGAGCAAACAGG
rnacentral:rRNA from 1 species